CUGGUGCUCUAGAAAGGGCUAAGAGCCCAGCCUUCCGGCCCUUUAAAUGCUACCAAAAGAAAAGGCACACACAUGCCAAGGCUGGCAUCUAUUUGCCAUUCAACACAUCCUGGGGCUGCUAUCCUUUGACGUACAAACAGUAGACGUAAACUAAUUUGAUUGGGCCAAGCCAAGCAAAACUGGAAAGAUAAAUCUGCUGCCAGAAGUCAUCAGGGGGAAAAUGUUAGAAGAGAUAAUUUGUUGAGAAAGGAAAAGGAGACCGACAUAAGGAGAAAAGCAGAUGAUGGUAUUUUACAUGGAUCACCCACACUUGAUGACAACAAGCCCCAAGAACCUCAAAACACCUGCUUCUUUUUGGCAGCAGAGAAAGCACCCAACACAGAGAGAUGACCCCAUCGUUCACGGACGACAACAACUCUGUGGGCUUAAGAAGCAGCUGAUUCCCACACUUUACUAACACUGAACUCUACAGAACCCCAGUGAGGUUAGAAGACUUACUGUGCAUGCCUCACCUCUCCAGCGCAUCUUGUAAGAAACAACAUAAUCAGCAAACUCAAAUCCUCCACCAGAGCAUGGAGGGGGUGACCUUGAGUGAGGCCAUUCUGGUGAAAGAUAAGUUCUGGCAGGUUCUGCUCUGGGAAAAGGCUUCAAGGACAAGUCUGCCAUCCAAGGAGCAGCCACCAAGGGGAAAGACUUCAAAGAGUCUUUGCCCUCUAAGGACCAUCCUGCUGAGCUCAGAGAGGUUCAUCACCAGAGGGCCAGCUACCAAGAGGUCCAUCAGUUGUUCAGGCCAGAGCAGCUCAUGAGGAACAUCUACUAAGGCCUGUCAUUUGUAGCCCUGACACCAUCCUGAGUCCCUAAGUUCUUUUCUGCUUUAGUAAUAAGCCUCUCCCUAAAGCACAAAUGAGGCCCAGAGAGCUCAGCCCCUCAGCUCCCAUAACUUCUAUAUUAGACAAAACGCACAAGGUGAGCCUGAUAUUUUCACUGGCUCCAGAUGAAAGGGACCUGGUUCAUCUUUCCAUCUGUUUCCCAUUCCUCCAUCUAGUCAAGUUGAUGGAACUUGAAGUCCUGCCAGCUGUUUCUAGAGGUAAAGAUCCCAAAGGAAUCUCUUGGGACAAUUGGCCAGACCCGAGUGGGGAAGCCUGAGGUUUGAACAGGGCCUGGAAGUGAGCUGCUAUCGGACUCAGUCUUGCCUCAAUCCUGCCCCCCGCCAUGGAAUUUUUAAAGGUCCUUCCUGGGAACCAGCUGUGAUCUUGGUCUGCAUUGAGAAAAAGAGAGCUUCCUAAAUUGAUUAAAGAAAUGCAAAUUAAAACAACUCUGGGGUACCACCUCACACCUAUCAGAUUGGAUAAUAUGA